rnacentral:rRNA from 1 species
UACGUAGGGGGCAAGCGUUGUCCGGAAUUAUUGGGCGUAAAGAGCGUGUAGGCGGCCAGAUAAGUCCGCUGUGAAAUCUCGAGGCUCAACUUCGAGCUGUCGGUGGAAACUAUCUGGCUAGAGUCCGGAAGAGGAGAAUGGAAUUCCUGGUGUAGCGGUGAAAUGCGCAGAUAUCAGGAAGAACACCCGUGGCGAAGGCGGUUCUCUGGACGGUACUGACGCUGAGACGCGAAAGCGUGGGAGCGAACAGG